rnacentral:rRNA from 1 species
AUGAGGGAAUUAGGUCUUCGAGAGGAGGACCUUGACGAUGUGGUGUACGAUGAGAAGGAGGCGCCGCCGAAGGCAUCGCGAUGGAUGGCGCUGGUCAGGGUGCACUCGCCCAAAUCAUACAGCCAAUAUUGGUUUUUUAGGAACAUGAGAUCGGCAUGGGAUCUCGCACAGGAGGUGCAGUUCAAACCGCUCGAGGAUAAUCUAUAUACAGCCCAAUUUUCAUGUCUGGGAGAUUGGGAG